GACGAACGCUGGCGGCGUGCCUAAUACAUGCAAGUUGAGCGCUGAAGGUUGGUACUUGUACCAACUGGAUGAGCAGCGAACGGGUGAGUAACGCGUGGGGAAUCUGCCUUUGAGCGGGGGACAACAUUUGGAAACGAAUGCUAAUACCGCAUAAAAACUUUAAACACAAGUUUUAAGAUUGAAAGAUGCAAUUGCAUCACUCAAAGAUGAUCCCGCGUUGUAUUAGCUAGUUGGUGAGGUAAAGGCUCACCAAGGCGAUGAUACAUAGCCGACCUGAGAGGGUGAUCGGCCACAUUGGGAAUGAGACAAGGCCCAAACCCCUACGGGAGGCAGCAGUAGGGAAUCUUCGGCAAUGGACGAAAGUCUGAACGAGCAACGCCGCGUGAGUGAAGAAGGUUUUCGGAUCGUAAAACUCUGUUGGUAGAGAAGAACGUUGGUGAGAGUGGAAAGCUCAUCAAGUGACGGUAACUACUCAGAAAGGGACGGCUAACUACGUG
rnacentral:rRNA from 1 species